GUGCGAGGGAGCCGAUUCUUGCAAGGUGAUUUGACGCGACACACUCCUGCCGAGGCGCGCGAGAGGAUCCAACGGACAUGCAGGAUGUGGGUGAAUCGAGGGGCUGGUCGAUCCAGCCGAUGUGGGAGAUCCAUGUGUUCUAGGUUGACGGAUUGGAGCUAGGGUCGAUGGAUUAGUUCUCAUUUAAUUACUACAAAGUAGCAUUCAUCCUCCUAGGUGUUUGAUGUUUUCCUCGUGCACAUCUAAUUUUUGUCAGUUGUCAGGAGCACAAUUUUUGGUUCUCUUGAUAAUCAACUAACACUAGCAGCAAGGCAGUGCAAUUUUGUAGUUUCGGAUCAAUUAGACUAUUAAUCCAUGAAAUUCGAUAUGGUUAGAUGACAUUGAAUUAGAAUGUUCUUAUCAAUCUUGGUGUUGCAUCUACGACUUCACCAUAAUUAUUUUGUUGUCUCUCUUCAAUUGUAUUUGUUGAUCGCUAUGACUUUGUUGAAGGAAACAUGAAAGCAUGUGCCUUUCCUGAAUGUCUCCAUUAGACUAGAAUAGUCGACAAUCUUAUAGGAAGCAAUAGCAGCAAAUGUUCAGUUAGAAGAAAUACGAGAAGUAAGAAGGAGAAGAAAGAGUAGCAUGUACUUGAAUACUUGUAACCAAACAAACAAAUUGAUGUACUUGUCAAUAAGAAACUUGGUGGAACAUCAAUGCUUGCUCAGCUACAUCAACAAUGAAAGUCACAAUUCUCUUAUACGCUUCACUAAGCAUGUAAUAAACAUGUGAUGUAUUGUUUGAUGAGGGUCGCACACGUUCUAUGUUGUGGGCAUACCGAUAACCUACCCGCUAGACUUCAUGCUGCACGUCGGCGUGGUGGUACUUCUCCUCGAUUUAUUUCACAACUUUUUACCUCUUCGUGGUUUGAUAACAUGCUAAUGGUGUGAAAAUUAUCUGGAUGUGCGGGGCCUUUGGAUGGGAAUCAUAUUUGGUAUUAUGGUGUAGGUCCUGUUGUUCUUGGCCAUCACACUACACACUAACUGGCAGAAUAAGGUAUAUGCUCAAAGGUUGUAGUUUCACUAGGCCAUUUCCGGUUUAUCAGAUUAGGAUCAUGCAUGUAAGUAUAAAAUAAAUCACGCUCUCUCAAUUGAAUAUAUGUAUGUAUAGCAAAAUGAAGGAAUGUAUAGGGGCUACUGAUGUAGCCAACAUAUGCUUAGUAUGAAGGAAAGUGUGCGGGUGUACAAAAUAAACAUACCCUCCCUCAACUCCCAUGCUUUUUUUCUCUACAUGCAACACAUGAUCCCUUGCAUGCGCUUUUCACAAUGCUUUGUUACUAUGAAUAAAAUAUACUCUUGUUAAUUUCUACUUACUACUAGUUAACUAUAUAAACCGAAUGCCCAUCUCGUUGUAGUGAAUGGGGAAAAAUUGUGCCAAAGCCACCUUGUAAUUACUUGAAUUUUGGAAAAGAGAGAUAUAAAAAAGACACUAUUCUCACCCAUAUAGGAAAGAUACUAAUAUAAUAAUUUGUUAAUUCUUGUAUGAGAAGGUCUCUUUCCUGUACUUGUUUUUUCUUUGACGGAAAUCAAUAGGAAUUGUUUCCUACACGUUCAUGUGUUGGACUUCAUUUUUUCAGGAUCUUGGUAUAUUGUGUUGAUCGAGAAGGAUUGCAUGUUACGUAAUGUACUCAUAUGCAAAUAAACUCACUGUCAUACAUGUCCACAUGGCUGAUUAGAUCUUUGGGACCAUGGCUUCUCACAAAUUCUCAUAUUCUAAGAUUGCUCAAACAUAUGAGUUUUUUGCACGGACAAAUGAAAGAAAAUAGCGAGUCCAAGUUGAUCUAAGAUGUUCCGGUGAUCGCUUUUGUUCAUAACAUGGUUGACACAUUUUUUAAUAUGGAAGUUGAUGUCAGCUUGGGGAUCAAAGACUUGGUCUCUUCCAUAAUUUUGUUGUUGUAGUGAUCAAACAUUUGGUCUCAUAGGAACUUGACCAUCAUAUUUUGUAAGAGGCCACAGCCUCAAUGUUGACUUCUAUAUUUCCUUAAUGGCUGUAAGUAACUUGAGUGAAGAGAACUAAAAAAUCUUCUAUAUAUGUUGACUGAAUGCAUUGAUCAAUAAUAUCUUGUGAUUGGGUACUUAACCUGAAAUGGAUGUAUUGAUCAGUGGUAUCUUGUGAUGGA